rnacentral:piRNA from 1 species
UAAGCUAACAAGCUGUUACAGUGUAUCCUUC